rnacentral:piRNA from 1 species
UCUUUCCAAUAUUUCUUUUCC